rnacentral:lncRNA from 1 species
UGGGUAUUGAAUAAUAAAUAAAAUACCAUUACUUUAAUUAGUAAUGGCAUUACAUAAUUGCACAUAUUGAAUUAAAGAAGUAGGGAAAAAAACAAAAGUAAAGAAACUAAUUUCAUGUUUUUGAAAUUCUUUUAUAAAAAGAAAAUCUUAUGCAUUUUAAAAUAAUCUUUUAAAAACAGUAUAGCCGAGCGGCUAUACUAUUUAUACAUUAAAAAAGGAUGCGCCAAUGCAUAGGUGCCAAGUGUCAAACAAGUACAGCCGAACGGCUAUACUAUUUCUUUAUUUUUUUAAAAACAGAAAAGCCGAGUAUAGCCGCGCGGCUAUACUAUUUGUCCCCCCC